rnacentral:rRNA from 1 species
AACGAACGCUGGCGGCAGGCCUAACACAUGCAAGUCGAACGCCCCGCAAGGGGAGUGGCGCACGGGUGAGUAACGCGUGGGAACCUGUCCCGCGGUACGGCACAACCCAGGGAAACUUGGGCUAAUACCGUAUACGCACUAUGGUGGAAAGAAUUUCGCCGUGGGAGGGGCCCGCGUAGGAUUAGCUAGUUGGCGGGGUAACGGCCCACCAAGGCAUCGAUCCUUAGCUGGUCUGAGAGGAUGAUCAGCCACACUGGGACUGAGACACGGCCCAGACUCCUACGGGAGGCAGCAGUGGGGAAUAUUGGACAAUGGGCGCAAGCCUGGUCCAGCCAUGCCGCGUGAGUGAUGAAGGCCUUAGGGUUGUAAAGCUCUCUCGCCGGGGAAGAUAAUGACGGUACCCGGAGAAGAAGCCUCGGCUAACUCCGUGCCAGCCGCCGCGGUAAAAC